UACGGAGGAUCCGAGCGUUAUCCGGAUUUAUUGGGUUUAAAGGGAGCGUAGGUGGAUUGUUAAGUCAGUUGUGAAAGUUUGCGGCUCAACCGUGAAAUUGCAGUUGAAACUGGCAGUCUUGAGUACAGUAGAGGUGGGCGGAAUUCGUGGUGUAGCGGUGAAAUGCUUAGAUAUCACGAAGAACUCCGAUUGCGAAGGCAGCUCACUGGACUGCAACUGACACUGAGGCUCGAAAGUGUGGGUAUCAAACAGG
rnacentral:rRNA from 1 species